UGGCGAACGGGUGAGUAACGCGUGAGGAACCUGCCUCAAAGAAGGGGGACAACAGUUGGAAACGGCUGCUAAUACCGCAUAAGCGCACAGUACCGCAUGGUACCGUGUGAAAAACUCCGGUGGUAUGAGAUGGACCCGCGUCUGAUUAGCUAGUUGGUGGGGUAACGGCCUACCAAGGCGACGAUCAGUAGCCGACCUGAGAGGGUGACCGGCCACAUUGGGACUGAGACACGGCCCAA
rnacentral:rRNA from 1 species